UGGGGAAUAUUGCACAAUGGGCGCAAGCCUGAUGCAGCCAUGCCGCGUGUGUGAAGAAGGCCUUCGGGUUGUAAAGCACUUUCAGCGAGGAGGAAGGUGGUGAGCUUAAUACGCUCAUCAAUUGACGUUACUCGCAGAAGAAGCACCGGCUAACUCCGUGCCAGCAGCCGCGGUAAUACGGAGGGUGCAAGCGUUAAUCGGAAUUACUGGGCGUAAAGCGCACGCAGGCGGUUUGUUAAGUCAGAUGUGAAAUCCCCGGGCUCAACCUGGGAACUGCAUUUGAAACUGGCAAGCUAGAGUCUCGUAGAGGGGGGUAGAAUUCCAGGUGUAGCGGUGAAAUGCGUAGAGAUCUGGAGGAAUACCGGUGGCGAAGGCGGCCCCCUGGACGAAGACUGACGCUCAGGUGCGAAAGCGCGGGGGAGCAAACAGGAUUAGAUACCCUGGUAGUCCACGCUGCAAACGAUGUCGAUUUUGGAGGUUGUGCCCUUGAGGCGUGGCUUCCGGAGCUAACGCGUUAAAUCGACCGCCUGGGGAGUACGGCCGCAAGGUUAAAACUCAAAUGAAUUGACGGGGUC
rnacentral:rRNA from 1 species